rnacentral:rRNA from 1 species
AACGAACGUUGGCGGCGUGGAUUAGGCAUGCAAGUCGCGCGAAUGCCCGCAAGGGUGGAAGCGGCGUAAGGGGCAGUAAGGCAUGGGUAACCUACCCUCGGGAUCGGGAUAGCCCGUAGAGAUACGGGGUAAUACCGGGCGACAUCGCGUGGUGGCAUCAUCAUGCGAUCAGAGGUCCGCCGCCCGGGGAGGGGCCCCUGUGGUAUUAGCUAGUUGGUGGGGUAACGGCCCACCAAGGCGAAGAUGCCUAGCGGGUGUGAGAGCACGACCCGCGCCACUGGCACUGGGACACUGGCCAGACACCUACGGGUGGCUGCAGUCGAGGAUCUUCGGCAAUGGGGGCAACCCUGACCGAGCGACGCCGCGUGGGCGACGAAGGCCUUCGGGUUGUAAAGCCCUGUCGAGGGGGAGAAAACCGUAAGGGUGAUCUAUCCCUGGAGGAAGCACGGGCUAAGUUCGUGCCAGCCGCCGCGGUAA